rnacentral:rRNA from 14 species
UAGCUGUGACGUUAGCAACAGAAGAAGGACCGGCUAACUCCGUGCCAGCAGCCGCGGUAAUACGGAGGGGGCUAGCGUUGUUCGGAAUUACUGGGCGUAAAGCGCACGCAGGCGGUUUGUUAAGCUAGAUGUGAAAGCCCUGGGCUCAACCUGGGAAUUGCAUUUAGAACUGGCAGGCUAGAGUUUUGGAGAGGGGAGUGGAAUUCCAGGUGUAGCGGUGAAAUGCGUAGAUAUCUGGAGGAACAUCAGUGGCGAAGGCGACUCCCUGGUCAGUAACUGACGCUCAUGUGCGAAAGUGUGGGUAGCGAACAGGAUUAGAUACCCUGGCAGUCCACGCCGUAAAC